rfam:Triticum aestivum genome assembly, contig: Triticum_aestivum_CS42_TGACv1_scaffold_288865_4AL
CAAAUACUCCCUCCGUCCGGAAUUACUUGUCAUCAAAAUGGAUGAAAAUGGAUGUAUCUACAACUAAAAUAUAUCUAGAAACAUCCAUUCCAAUGAGAAGUAUUUUCGGACGGAGGAAGUACAAG